GCUGAGGUAGCUCAGUGGUAGAGCAUUUGCCUAGCAAUAUGAAAGGCCCUAGGUUGUAUCCUCAGCA
rnacentral:tRNA from 1 species